rnacentral:rRNA from 1 species
CGUGUAGGCGGCCAAUUAAGCUAGGUGUAAAAUGUUACAGCUCAACUGUAAACCCGCAUCUAGAACUGGUUGGCUAGAGGAUGAGAGAGGAAAGUGGAAUUCCUAGUGUAGCGGUGGAAUGCGUAGAUAUUAGGAGGAACACCAGUGGCGAAGGCGGCUUUCUGGCUCAUACCUGACGCUGAGGCGCGAAAGCGUGGGAGCAAACA